UACGGAGGGGGCUAGCGUUGUUCGGAAUUACUGGGCGUAAAGCGCACGUAGGCGGAUUGUUAAGUCAGAGGUGAAAUCCCGGAGCUCAACUUCGGAACUGCCUUUGAUACUGGCAAUCUAGAGUCCGGAAGAGGUUAGUGGAAUUCCCAGUGUAGAGGUGAAAUUCGUAGAUAUUGGGAAGAACACCAGUGGCGAAGGCGGCUCGCUGGGACGUUACUGACGCUGAGACGCGAAAGCGUGGGGAGCAAACAGG
rnacentral:rRNA from 1 species